rnacentral:rRNA from 1 species
GCCUAAUACAUGCAAGUCGAGCGAGCUUGCCUAUAGAAGUUCUUCGGAAUGGAAAUAGAUACAAGCUAGCGGCGGAUGGGUGAGUAACGCGUGGGUAACCUGCCCUUAAGUCUGGGAUACCAUUUGGAAACAGAUGCUAAUACCGGAUAAAAGCUACUUUCGCAUGAAAGAAGUUUAAAAGGCGGCGUAAGCUGUCGCUAAAGGAUGGACCUGCGAUGCAUUAGCUAGUUGGUAAGGUAACGGCUUACCAAGGCGAUGAUGCAUAGCCGAGUUGAGAGACUGAUCGGCCACAUUGGGACUGAGACACGGCCCAAACUCCUACGGGAGGCAGCAGUAGGGAAUCUUCCACAAUGGACGAAAGUCUGAUGGAGCAACGCCGCGUGAGUGAAGAAGGUUUUCGGAUCGUAAAGCUCUGUUGUUGGUGAAGAAGGAUAGAGGUAGUAACUGGCCUUUAUUUGACGGUAAUCAACCAGAAAGUCACGGCUAACUACGUGCCAGCAACCGCGGUAAUACGUAGGUGGCAAGCGUUGUCCCGGAUUUAUUGGGCGUAAAGCCAAGCGCAGGCGGAUUGAUAAGUCUGAUGUGAAAGCCUUCGG